UGCGUAGGUGGUUUUUUAAGUCCGUUGUGAAAUCCCUGGGCUCAACCUGGGAAUGGCAGUGGAUACUGGAAGGCUAGAGUGCGGUAGAGGGUAGUGGAAUUCCCGGUGUAGCAGUGAAAUGCGUAGAGAUCGGGAGGAACACCAGUGGCGAAGGCGGCUACCUGGACCAGCACUGACACUGAAGCACGAAAGCGUGGGGAGCAAACA
rnacentral:rRNA from 1 species